CCCUAUUCCCUCACAGGCUCACAGAGCAGCGUGGCAUGAUUUAUAAAUCUAGCAGAGGCAACAAAGGUGAAGGAAUGAAACUGUAAUAUUGCUUAGGACGGAGGCGUGUGAAGAACUUAAGAAAAUGGUGUGGAUCUGUGAUCACAGUAUCACCUUUUGGGAUCAACAAUCCCUGCUACCGAUGGGCCUUGGUCCCCGUCUGGGUCUGGAAAGAAAACUUUGUUUCAGACUUGGAUGACAGCUGUUGCCGUCUACCAGGAAAACACAUGCCUGCCCAAACACCCAUGGAGAGGGGGAGAGAGAGAAACAGCACCACAGUGCUACAACUUUAAUCACUUGCUGUGUCCAGGAAUAGCCCCAGAUGGUGAAGAGGAUGGCGAGGGGAUGGACAACGAUUUCUGGAACUUGGGGAAGAACGUGUUUGAUCAAAACUAUUUUUUCUGAUUCACACAUGGGAUCUGAUCUCCACCCAGUCUUCCUCCCUCCCUCCCUGUUCUUGAUCCUGCUACCACAAAAAUGUGUGGAAGCUCCCUUUCCUCUGUUAUUCCUAGCAGGUGUCUGCAGUGUUCAAAGAUCUGAUGGCUGAUGCUCAGCAACAUACAUAGGGAAGAAAGGUAAAGAACAGGCUGGCAGGUCUGUUUCUGAAGAAAGUUGAUUUGGUUGACGCUUCGAUCUUACAGACUAACGUAAGAGGUGUGAUAGGGCAUGUUGUGACCUGGGUUGCUAUUGGCAGUGGCUCCUGCCACUGAGGAGCAAGCAACCAAAUGUUUUAUCCCCUUAUUUUAUAACAUUUUGGUAAAUUUCUGCCUGAAUGGGCCCUAGUUGAAUAUUGAUGUAUAUAAGAGUGGGAGAUGUUGUGCCCUUCCUGCCCAUAACUGCACACAGACUCUUCCAUGGCUGGUGAUAGGAUCCUUCGAACUAACCAUCUGUGGGCAAUUUGUACCAAGCUACCCCCCUUCCUUCCCCAGUCUACCCUUUCUGCAUAUUCUGGAACUGACUGGGCGCCUGGAUGCAAUUUGUGGCCAGAAAUCAACUCAUUGUGAGGCUUACAAUGCAUUCUGUGGGACAAAUGUUAUCUACUCACCAACAUGCUUCUAAAAUGUGCAGAACACUGCUUUUGUCAGUGAUGCCUCCACCUACUGAGAAUAUUUUAAAAUGUGCAACAAAAAUGAAUACCUUCGGGAAAAUAUAUAUAUACAAAAACACACCUUUUCCUCUGAAAACAAACAGCUAUGUGUAACCAGAAUAAAAUGAGCUUGUUAUUAAAACAUAUCAUUC